rnacentral:rRNA from 1 species
AUACGGAGGGGGCAAGCGUUGUUCGGAAUUACUGGGCGUAAAGCGCGCGUAGGCGGGCUGGUUAGUUGGGGGUGAAAUCCCAGGGCUUAACCCUGGAACGGCCUCCAAUACUGCCAGUCUUGAGUUCGAGAGAGGUAAGUGGAAUUCCUAGUGUAGAGGUGAAAUUCGUAGAUAUUAGGAAGAACACCAGUGGCGAAGGCGGCUUACUGGCUCGAUACUGACGCUGAGGCGCGAAAGCGUGGGGAGCAAACAGGAUUAGAAACCCGGGUAGUCC